rnacentral:rRNA from 1 species
CGCGUAGGUGGGCUAGUAAGUCAGGCGUGAAAGCCCGGAGCUCAACUCCGGAACUGCAUUUGAAACUACUAGCCUUGAGGAUAGGCGGAGAAGACGGAAUUCCACGUGUAGCGGUGAAAUGCGUAGAUAUGUGGAAGAACACCGGUGGCGAAGGCGGUCUUCUAGCUUACUCCUGACACUGAGGCGCGAAAGCAAGGGGAGCGAACAGGAUUAGAUACCCUGGUAGUC